CGGAGGGAAACCGAGUCUUAAUUGGGCGUUAAGUUGCAGGGUAUAGACCCGAAACCCGGUGAUCUAGCCAUGGGCAGGUUGAAGGUUGGGUAACACUAACUGGAGGACCGAACCGACUAAUGUUGAAAAAUUAGCGGAUGACCUGUGGCUGGGGGUGAAAGGCCAAUCAAACCGGGAGAUAGCUGGUUCUCCCCGAAAGCUAUUUAGGUAGCGCCUCGUGAAUUCAUCUCCGGGGGUAGAGCACUGUUUCGGCUAGGGGGCCAUCCCGGCUUACCAACCCGAUGCAAACUGCGAAUACCGGAGAAUGUUAUCACGGGAGACACACGGCGGGUGCUAACGUCCGUCGUGAAGAGGGAAACAACCCAGACCGCCAGCUAAGGUCCCAAAGUCAUGGUUAAGUGGGAAACGAUGUGGGAAGGCCCAGACAGCCAGGAUGUUGGCUUAGAAGCAGCCAUCAUUUAAAGAAAGCGUAAUAGCUCACUGGUCGAGUCGGCCUGCGCGGAAGAUGUAACGGGGCUAAACCAUGCACCGAAGCUGCGGCAGCGAACGUAUCACCCAAGACAACUUUACGGAGUUGACGAUUGACGGAGCGAAGCGACGUCAAAGCGUUCAUUAAAGUCGAGUUGGCUUAGGGAUACGUUCGUUGGGUAGGGGAGCGUUCUGUAAGCCUGUGAAGGUGUGUCGUGAGGCAUGCUGGAGGUAUCAGAAGUGCGAAUGCUGACAUAAGUAACGAUAAAGCGGGUGAAAAGCCCGCUCGCCGGAAGACCAAGGGUUCCUGUCCAACGUUAAUCGGGGCAGGGUGAGUCGACCCCUAAGGCGAGGCCGAAAGGCGUAGU
rnacentral:rRNA from 1 species